UAGAGAGGUCACCUGCAGACACACCCUGGCUUCUGCUAAACCCGCUUCUUUCUCUUUCCCCCUCCGGGCACCGAGAAGACGCACCCGCGGGCUCUCCGAGCUCUAGGGUCCUUUUACGUAGCAAAGUCAGGCCUGGGAACAGAACUUUACGUUCGUGUAAAGUCUGUGGUACGUCCUCGUUUUGAGGAAUGGGGCGGAGGGGGGGGACAAAAAAGCGAGAAAGGUCGAGCCUAGAGAAGUCGGGGGUCAAACUGACCAAAACCAGGACGGGAGGACCGAAGAUGCAGCAGGCGAAAAGUCCUCAGCCACGGCCGGCUGUUGUACGGUGUGUUUCACCUCUCCUGCUAACCCUUCAUCCCUGUCUACGAGGACAAAGAAGCUUCGGGGUACAUUGGUGAUGGGCCUAGCUGUCCUUGAGAAUGCUCGUGAUUAAGUUGGUGAUAGAAAAUGGGAGAACUGAAGACAGUCACUUUAUAAAACCCUUGUCUGCUUGAAUUUGUGGUGCUGGGUUACCCUUUGAAAGACAAGUAUCUCCAAGGAAAGUUUAACAGGUCUGAAAGGAGAACGUCCAUUGGAGAAUUGCUUCUGAAUGGAGAACGUUCAGUGGACAGUUACCAAAGAAAAAACACUGACAAGAUUCUAGACAUCCGCAAUUCUGGCUCUUUGUCCUUAGAGGAGGCCCCUGAGAUUUGCUGCCAGGACCAGGAAUCGAUCAGACCUCACAAGCAAGCCCUGGAGUCCACAUGCUGCUGGGUGCAGAUGGGAGCAAUGCAGGAUUUGACCACUGACUGCACAGACUUCUUCACAGGGGAGAGGAGUGAGUGAG